UACGAAGGGGGCUAGCGUUGCUCGGAAUCACUGGGCGUAAAGGGUGCGUAGGCGGGUCUUUAAGUCAGGGGUGAAAUCCUGGAGCUCAACUCCAGAACUGCCUUUGAUACUGAAGAUCUUGAGUUCGGGAGAGGUGAGUGGAACUGCGAGUGUAGAGGUGAAAUUCGUAGAUAUUCGCAAGAACACCAGUGGCGAAGGCGGGUCACUGGCC
rnacentral:rRNA from 1 species